ACCCUUAAUUUGAAAAUGUAUCUUUUCAGAUACAACAACUUUUAAAAAAUCUGUAACAUAAAAUAAUUGUAUUUUUUUGAAUCGAUCGAUUUAAUUAUAAAGUUUGACUCAUUACAUCACAAGGAAAAGUAAGUCUAUUGCAUUUUCAACAACUGGACAUCCCUAUUUACGUCAACCUGAAAAAAUGACGGACACGAAGAGCAACAAAGCUGUAUUACAACGAGCAAGAUCGAAGCACAUUCUAGCGUUGAUUCCUGCAGGAAAUGCACGAUCGGACGACAGUGCCACAACAGACAAUGAGGAAGAUAACACAUCUUUGCCAGUUUAUGGAAUACAACACGAUUCUUAUAGUAGGUCCUCAACACCUUCACUGGAUUCGGAUAAAAUGUAAUGUGAGAUUAUGUCUAACUAAACAACGGAACUGUUUUUUUCGAUUUUCAUGUAAAAAAAUAAAAUUUCUUACCAAUGAACUAUUUUAUUUUAUAACCCCGAUUUGGUAAUGUAUCCUUUUGGAUACACUAUCGAAAAACUAUACAUUCCUCCGUAUUUGGCAAUGUGUAAAAUAAGAUACAUAUUAUUUCAGCGCAAUUACUGAAAAAAACAUUUUUAUAAUAUUUUUCUCUAUUUCCUUAUACCCCAAAUAAUUAGACUACAGUAUUUUUUUAAUAAAAAUUUAUAAAGGUUAUGCUUGCCAAAUUAAGGGUUAA